AUGACGAAGAUGAAGAACCUUACAUGGAUGACGAGUUCGAUUUUCUGUCUUGGUUCAAGGAAACUGUGCAGCAUGGCGAUUUCGUCGUCUUGAAGAUGGACGCAGGGAAGGAAGAACUGAAGUUUCUAUCAGAUUUGUUCGAAAGUGGGGUUAUUUGUUGGGUGGAUGAGGUGUUCCUCAGCUGCAGAGAUGGGGUUGACGAAGAAGAUGGUGAGCUGAAGAAAAGAGACUGUAUGGAUCUAUACAAGGAUCUGAGAAACAGUGGUGUUUAUGUGCAUCAAUGGUUUCUGGAUUCUGCUCCUUCCUCCAUGAAAAUAUGAAGUUGUUUAGUUUGGUUCAUGGUUGGUGAGUAAGAAUAUUGCAGAGUUGCUUGUGGUUGAGCGCUCAAUUAGACUUAUAAUAAACG
rnacentral:misc_RNA from 1 species